UUAGUGGAAUUCUCGUGCUUAUCUACUUAACCUAGAACCCACUGUCCUCGUCCAAAUUGACAUUAUCUAGAACCCACGGCUCAUAGCCUCAUCCCGACGGAGAGAUCACUGUUCCUACCGCUUCUUCUUCGGCGACGUGUGGGCAUCGGAGCCUGCGCCUCAGCGUGGGACUCCACCACCCCAAGUUCCAAUUCGGAUCUUUCUCGGGUCUCUCUCACCCGAACCCGCUCCUCUCCCUCGACCUCUCUGGAGGACAUGGAGGAUUUUAAGGUGGUGGAGCGAGAGGAGGCGGCGGAGGAGCAGAGAGCCACUAGAGAGGAUGGCAGAGGACAACGAGAAGAUGGAAAGGAGUGCUGAAGGUGUAGGGCAUUUUGGGAAAGAAAAUUUGAUUUCGGAUGGAGCCUUCUCCCCGGAAUCCAAAUACUCAACAAUAUCAGGAGAUGAAUUCCUGAUUUUAUGUGGGGCCCGCAGAACUGUUCAUUCUGCUUAAGUUGGUAAACGGAGGAAUAAUCAGGAAUGGGGUAUGAUUCCCAUUCCACCAUAUCCUUUCCCCAUAUGUAAACACCAUAAGACUAAUUGUGAGGGCAUCAAGUUGUAAAA